GACGAACGCUGGCGGCGUGCUUAACACAUGCAAGUCGAACGGAAAGGCCCUGCUUGCAGGGUACUCGAGUGGCGAACGGGUGAGUAACACGUGGGUGAUCUGCCCUGCACUUCGGGAUAAGCCUGGGAAACUGGGUCUAAUACCGGAUAGGAGCCAUUUUUAGUGUGAUGGUUGGAAAGUUUUUUCGGUGUAGGAUGAGCUCGCGGCCUAUCAGCUUGUUGGUGGGGUAAUGGCCUACCAAGGCGGCGACGGGUAGCCGACCUGAGAGGGUGGACGGCCACAUUGGGACUGAGAUACGGCCCAGACUCCUACGGGAGGCAGCAGUGGGGAAUAUUGCACAAUGGGCGCAAGCCUGAUGCAGCGACGCCGCGGGGGGGAUGACGGCCUUCGGGUUGUAAACUCCUUUCGCUAGGGACGAAGCUUUUUGUGACGGUACCUAGAUAAGAAGCACCGGCUAACUACGUG
rnacentral:rRNA from 1 species